rnacentral:rRNA from 1 species
GACGAACGCUGGCGGCGUGCCUAAUACAUGCAAGUCGAGCGGACGGAUGGGAGCUUGCUCCCAGACCGUCAGCGGCGGACGGGUGAGUAACACGUGGGCAACCUGCCUGUAAGACUGGGAUAACUCCGGGAAACCGGGGCUAAUACCGGAUAACUCUUUCCCUCCCAUGAGGGCAAGCUGAAAGAUGGCAUCUCGCUAUCACUUACAGCUGGGCCCGCGGCGCAUUAGCUAGUUGGUGAGGUAACGGCUCACCAAGGCGACGAUGCGUAGCCGACCUGAGAGGGUGAUCGGCCACACUGGGACUGAGACACGGCCCAGACUCCUACGGGAGGCAGCAGUAGGGAAUCUUCCGCAAUGGACGAAAGUCUGACGGAGCAACGCCGCGUGAGUGAUGAAGGUUUUCGGAUCGUAAAACUCUGUUGUCAGGGAAGAACAAGUACCGGAGUAACUGCCGGUACCUUGACGGUACCUGAACAGAAAGCCACGGCUAACUACGUG